GACGAACGCUGGCGGCGUGCUUAACACAUGCAAGUCGAACGGUGAGGCCCUUCGGGGUACACGAGUGGCGAACGGGUGAGUAACACGUGGGUGAUCUGCCCUGCACUUCGGGAUAAGCCUGGGAAACUGGGUCUAAUACCGGAUAGGACUCCUGGCUUCAUGGUUGGGGGUGGAAAGCUUUUGCGGUGUGGGAUGGGCCCGCGGCCUAUCAGCUUGUUGGUGGGGUAAUGGCCUACCAAGGCGACGACGGGUAGCCGGCCUGAGAGGGUGACCGGUCACACGGGGACUGAGAUACGGCCCAGACUCCGACGGGAGGCAGCGGUGGGGAAUAUUGCACAAUGGGCGCAAGCCUGAUGCAGCGACGCCGCGUGAGGGAUGACGGCGUUCGGGUUGUAAACCUCUUUCAGCUAUGACGAAGCGCAAGUGACGGUAGGUGCAGAAAAAGGACCGGCCAACUACGUGCCAGCCGCCGCCGUAA
rnacentral:rRNA from 1 species